UCCGGGUGCAGUGGCGCAUUCCUGUAGUCCCAGCUACUCAGGAGGCUGAGGUGGGAGGAUUGCUUGAGCCCAGGAGUUCUGGGCUGUAGUGUGAUAUGCUGAUUGGGUGUCUGCACCAAGUUCGGCAUCAAUAUAGUGACCUCCCGGCAGCGGGGGACCACCAGGUUGCCUAAGGAGGGGUGAACCGGCCCAGGGAGGAAACAGAGCAGGUAAAAACUCCCGUGUUGAUCAGUAAUGGCAUUGCGCCUGUGAAUAGCCACUGUACUCCAGCCUGGACAACAUAGCAAGACCCCAUCUCUA
rnacentral:SRP_RNA from 1 species